rnacentral:misc_RNA from 1 species
GGCAAAGAGCAUCACAUAAUAGUGAUUAUGCUACUAAAGAAGAACGAGGUGAAAGUAGAUCCACCAAAUUGGUGCUAACAACAAUGACUAAAGUGACUAAACACAGUAUUAAAUUAGGAAAGAAACGUUAAACCUAGGAUAACGCAGCGCGAAGUAACAAAAAGAUAAUCAGAAAAUCUAAAGAAGAAAGAAUGAUAGUCAAACAACAAGAUAGCAUCAUAAUCAAAUGCUCAGUUUUUUCACAUAGCACGCCAGCAUCCAUAAAGCAUGAAAACGAUAGCCAUGGCUCAAGUUUAAUUGGAAAUCUCACCUCAGCCACAGUGAACAACGCCG